rnacentral:rRNA from 1 species
AUGAUUUCAUGGGCGUCGUCUCUGCCUCGGAAGCUCGUGGUGGCGGCCUCUCUUCUUGCGCUGCCCGUGGCCAUCGCGGCGUCGCCUGCGCCGGCGAACCAGAGUAGCUGCUACAAGCGUCUAUUCAGCUUCGGUGACUCUCUGAUCGACACCGGCAACUACAUCGUCCACUUCUCCGCCACGCCGGGUCCGGUCGUGGAGUUGCCAUACGGCGAGACCUUCUUCGGCCGGCCCACCGGCCACUGGUCCGACGGCCGCCUCAUCGUAGACUUCAUCGUGGAGAGGCUGGGGUUCCCGUACUGGCCAGCGUACCUGCAGGCGGCGGCCGGGAAGUCGCUGGCGGAGGAGUUCCGGUACGGCGUGAAUUUUGCGGUGGGCUCCGCCACGGCGUUGAGCCAGGAUUUCUUGAGGAAGAAGCACCUCCGCGUUGACCUGAUCCCUCCCUACUCCCUCGACGUCCAGAUCGGGUUGUUCAAGAAAGUUCUCGCCGUGCUCGGCUCCACGGACCAAGGUGAUGUGUAG